UUGGUGAGGUAAUGGCUCACCAAGGCGACGACGGGUAGCCGGCCUGAGAGGGCGACCGGCCACACUGGGACUGAGACACGGUCCAGACUCCUACGGGAGGCAGCAGUGGGGGAUAUUGCACAAUGGGCGAAAGCCUGAUGCAGCGACGCCGCGUGAGGGAUGACGGCCUUCGGGUUGUAAACCUCUUUCAGCAGGGAAGAAGCGAAAGUGACGGUACCUGCAGAAGAAGCGCCGGCUAACUACGUGCCAGCAGCCGCGGUAAUACGUAGGGCGCAAGCGUUGUCCGGAAUUAUUGGGCGUAAAGAGCUCGUAGGCGGUCUGUCGCGUCUGCUGUGAAAACUCAGGGCUUAACCCUGAGCUUGCAGUGGGUACGGGCAGACUAGAGUGCGGUAGGGGAGACUGGAAUUCCUGGUGUAGCGGUGAAAUGCGCAGAUAUCAGGAGGAACACCGGUGGCGAAGGCGGGUCUCUGGGCCGUAACUGACGCUGAGGAGCGAAAGCAUGGGGAGCGAACAGGAUUAGAUACCCUGGUAGUCCAUGCCGUAAACGUUGGGCGCUAGGUGUGGGGACCUUUCCAUGGCUUCCGUGCCGCAGCUAACGCAUUAAGCGCCCCGCCUGGGGAGUACGG
rnacentral:rRNA from 1 species